GCCUCCUCAGCCCGCCCGAGCCACGACGUCACUCGCGUAACCUGGAAGUGCCCGCGUCGGAGCCGGGCGGGUGUUGGCGCGCUGCGCCCCGUGCUGCCUUACCGCCCUCUGGUGCCCUGUGGAGGCUGGGACCUGCGGGCGGCCGUCGUGCUGAGGGAGGGAAGAAGGGAGCGGGGGAGCUGUUGCUGGGGUGGUUAUUAGACUGCGGAGGAGCUUUGGCCUGGGAACAGGGACCUUUACUCAUCGGUGCCGCAUUGAUAGCAGCCCUUGGAGGAUUGCUCUGUGCGUUGGUUUGUAAAUCCAACUCCUCUGCACCGUUUGGUACCAAGUGCCUUAAUGAAAUCCAGGUAAAAGAUCAAAUUUUAAUCCCUUCAAACGAUCUUAUUUCUCUGCCAAAAUUGAAAUCAAGAAUUAAUAUCUGAACAUGGAGUUAUCAAGGAAAAUCCUCUUUCUUGUGACUGUACCAAGGUCAAAACAACACAUCCCUUUCAUCAGAAGUGACCUUCUGUACAAAUCCUUCUCUAAAGCACUACAUAAGAGUCAAGCUAUAUUCAGACCUCAAAAGAUGUGCCGAAAUGGCUGAAACCAACCUUUGGUGGAAAGUUCAGAGAAGAGAGAAUAUCAAAGGACCCUUAUUUUUAACCAAGAAUCCAGCAGUUUAUGUCGAUUUCCCAGCUCAGACAAUGUGGCAGCCUGAAGUAUAUUCUAGCUAAACAGACCACAUCCUGAAACUAAAUCUCCUUUCAGUGUUUUUGCUAUUCAGUGUUCAGUGGUGCAAGUCCACUGAAGUCAGUCAAGAAAUCCCAGUUUUAUCAAGCUCAGAGUCUGCUCUGUGGAGACCACCGCUGCUGGUUAAAUUCGUGCUGUGCCACCUGCAGCUGAAGUCUACACGUGCUUCGAAUCCUUGGGGAUAGGUGUCUGCAGGCAGCUUCCCCCGCUUCCUUCACGGCCACAGAAGCGCCUUUAAGCCACGCAGUGCUGUCACUCAGGCUGCCCGCAGUGUCACUUACCGGCAUCACCACAGAGGGGGAGCAGCACACCGCAGGUUGGCCCGGGAUACGUGCAGAGACGUGCUGCUGCGGGGUGGUGGUUCGCGUUUUAGGAUCAUGGGGGCUUCUUCACAGCAGAGAGGAUCCCAGUGAAUGCAGGGUGGCCCUGGGGAGCUACCUGCAAUGGUCACUGACAAGCAGUUCCUUGAGCAACAAGGGCUCGAUCAUGAGCUGAAAACCACCAGAGUGGGGCCACCAACACCCCCGUCCACAUCUUUGCCUUUUUAGGUAGUUCUUUGCUUCAGUACCAGUAUGAAACUUUAACCUGCUCACCAGUGCUGCUGUGUUGAGUUGGCAAGUGGGGUGAAUGGUGAUAAUAGAAAGUACCCUUUACACUCCCCUCAUUUUAUGUACAUGCGCUUGCUGUUAUUUAUUAUAUCAUGUCAUGCUCAAAUAAGGCUGCAGUACUCUGGGGUCUGUUUUUACUGUUUGGUUGCUUGGGCUACAGCAAGUGGCACCACAAUAUUGCAGCACUUCAGAGAGGAAUGGGAAAGAGAAUGUGUGUGGAUGUAUGAUUAUAGCAAUGGUUGUGGUCAGAGAGGCCCACCAAGAAUUAAAGAUGUCUAGCAAAUCCUCCUCCAAAUUUAUGGAUCCAGCUUAACACUCAAAUGCAUGAAUACAAAUCCUGUAGCUUUAUAGAGACAUCUGCCUGUGUUCUGAAGGCUAAUUUAACUUGACAUAUAGUACUUUUACCUGUUGCUCCUUUAAUUAAUAACUAUAUUCAUGUUCCUUA